ensembl:piRNA 21ur-5934 ncRNA
UACUUGGACAGAUGAAGUUUU